UACGUAGGGUGCGAGCGUUAAUCGGAAUUACUGGGCGUAAAGCGUGCGCAGGCGGUUUCUUAAGUCAGAUGUGAAAGCCCCGGGCUUAACCUGGGAACUGCGUUUGAAACUGGGAGACUUGAGUGUGGCAGAGGGGGGUGGAAUUCCACGUGUAGCAGCGAAAUGCGUAGAUAUGUGGAGGAACACCGAUGGCGAAGGCAGCCCCCUGGGUUAACACUGACGCUCAUGCACGAAAGCGUGGGGAGCAAACAGG
rnacentral:rRNA from 1 species